ACGCAGAUCACAUGAUUGCAGAGGACAGUCAAGAGGAGCGACUUCAGAGGAUCUCGUUCCUCCCGUAGUCCCAUCGGCCGGUUUCUGCUUCUCCCUCCCAAUCCAAAAUCUCAACCAAACCCUACCGGGCUGCGGCGUGCCGGCGUGCGCAGGGCUAGGUGAGGACGCUGGGCGCGGGCGUCUCAAGGGCGCCACCUAGGCGGACCGCGGCAGGGCGCUGCGCCUGCGCUGGGCACGUGGGCGGCCCGUGGCGGGGCCGCAGCUAGCAGCGUGCGUAGGUGCCUGCGCCGCCGGGUGGCCGUUGGCCGGCUGCUCGAGAGCGACUGGACACCAACACCGGCAGCAGCACUUCUGCAACCUACACAGGCACAGAGACAGGAGAAUGUCUGGUCGAUGGGAGUCUUCAGCAAGCCAACAACUGUGAAUCCAAUUUGCCCACCCUACACACAAAUCCUCCGCCACUAUGGUGGCAGCGGUGUCGGUACCGAGCCAAGCACAGGCGAUGCUUCGGGGCCGGCUUUGUGACCCGGCCUUCGUCCACUCUGCCCUCAGGUCCUCCCCGGACACCAACUACAGCAAGCUGAAGUACCUAGUCUCCAGCUCUGUCUCUGAGGCCUGCAAUAACUCCGUCCUCCUCCUUGGUCCCCGCGGGUGUGGAAAAGCAGCGGUGGUCGACAUGGUUCUUGAUGAUCUGAACAAGGAGCACCCUGAUGCGAUUUCCGUGAUCAGACUAAAUGGGAUGCUACAUAGUGACGACAACUGUGCUAUGAAGGAAAUUGCUAGGCAGCUUUGUUUGGAGCAUCAGUUAUCAUUUUCAAAAAUGGCUUCUUCAGAUGAUAACACUGAGUUCAUGAUUGACAUGUUACGAGAGUGUGGACUAGCUCACAAGACAAUACUAUUUGUUCUAGAAGAGUUUGACCUCUUUGCUCAGGGUAAACAGAGGUUGCUUUACAGCUUACUUGAUGCAAUGCAGUCUCUAACAUCACAAGCCGUUGUCAUUGGUGUGAGUUGCCGCUUGGAUGCAGAUCAACUCCUAGAGAAAAGGGUUAGAUCCAGAUUCUCUCAUAGGAAGCUUUUAUUUAUUUCUCCUUCACUGGAUGAUAUACAGCGGUUGGUGGAACAUUUGCUUAUACUGGCGAAAGACUCAGGCUUACCAGAAAAGUAUAUCACCGAUUAUAACUCAAGACUUACUAGCAUUUUUAGUGAUAAGAAAUUCAAAGGAUGUCUCAACUCUCUCAUGGAUGCUGAUGCAACAACAAGCAACAUUCUAAGAUUUCUUUUCAGAGCUGUGUCAUAUAUGGACAUGGAAUCUGGAUUCCUGCCAAUAGAAAGCUUCCUAAAGGCCCUUUCUUCCAUGCAGAGGCAACCCAAGAUGGACAGCCUACAAGACCUCUCGAUUUUGGAAUUGUACAUUCUUGUGUGCAUGCACAGACUAGAAGAUAAGGAGCAAAGCUCAUACAACUUCACCAGCAUAAUGAAAGAUCCAUACAAGACGCCUAUAAGACUUCUGAUAAAUAUGCAAGCACUGUUUGUUUUAGGGCCUUCGAGCAUCUUUUGGAUAGAGAGCUGAUCAGUUUUGGUGACAACAGAGGGAGAAACCAGGCGCUUGAAUACCGACCUGUUAAGCUCCUUGUAUCCUCCCGCGAGCUCGCUCAGUCCCUCAAGCUGAACACCACCUGCCCUGCUGUACUACAGAAGCUGUUUGAUCGUGAAAGAUACAUGUAGAACCUCUCCUCAGCUGGCCGCACUUCACUGACUUGGAGUUGCCGGCUUGCCGCUUUCUUGUUUCACUGGGCUAAUUCCGCUGUCAAGUUCAUGAAUGUGGACGCGUUGUCAGGUCGAUGCGUUGUUUUGUAAAACGGCGAUUGUAUUGGUAUCUGUCCACUGUUCGUUGGAGUUGGAAAAGGUGUGGGCCGUGUGGCCAACUGCCUAGCUCGGUUGCAUCGCAUGACUUGUGUGACCUGCAUGUCAGUCACUUGACCAGAGUCCAGAGGCCACAGGGAGUUAAAUAUUUAUUCAUUUGUUGUACUGAUUGUGGGCUAACGAUCUUGAUCUGCAUCUCGCACAAGUUUAGCAGCGUGGUGAAUGUGAUAUUUUUGGUA